CAUGGCUGGCCUGACCUACAUGUCUUACCAGGUAUGGAAGGACCCGUGAUAUGCAUCCAUAUGAUCUUUUUUUUUUCAUGAAGUUGGGACUACUCGCCAAAUACCUCGCUAUAACAACCGAUCAACUACUUCUUCAAGUGUAGGGGAUGAAACUAAAGCGAGGUUUUGGGUUGAUAAUUGGAUUGAAGGCGGUCCUCUUUGGUAGAGGUUCCCAGAUUUAUUUAGGCUUACCCAAUACAACUCUGCCUGGAUCAGUGACAACCGAGUAUUUAUGGACAGAGGGAGUAUAGUUUGAAGGUAAGUACACGUAUAUGCAUAAUUGAUACUAAAUGAACUUGCUUAAUAUCUGUCUUUCUUUUUAUAAUAAAUUUAUAGAGA